UACGGAGGGUGCAAGCGUUAAUCGGAAUUACUGGGCGUAAAGCGCACGCAGGCGGUUUGUUAAGUCAGAUGUGAAAUCCCCGGGCUCAACCUGGGAACUGCAUUUGAAACUGGCAAGCUAGAGUCUCGUUGAGGGGGGUAGAAUUCCAGGUGUAGCGGUGAGAUGCGUAGUGAUCUGGAGGAAUACCGAUGGCGAAGGCGGCCCCCUGGACGAAGACUGACGCUCAGGUGCGAAAGCGUGGGGAGCAAACAUG
rnacentral:rRNA from 1 species